UGGUGUCUGCUGCGAAAUGGGAUGCCCAGUGCCUAUGCCAUGCCCCCCUCGCCCAUCCCACGAUGGGUGCCAAUGGCAUAGGCACUACCCCCCGACCCGGGGUCGGAUGUUGGCUCGGCGGUCUUCGAUCGUCMAUCCAUCCGGCAGCCGAUCCCGGCGGGGGCGGYCAGGUGGGCUAGUAGGGCUGUGUUGCUAUUUUUCGAGAGGAGAGGGACGGUUCACCUCGGAUUGCGAUUUUUCCACGGUAUUCAAGGGUCAAGCGGGUCCAUUGGCUACGGCUGUGCGUUAGCGUGCGAUCGGAGAGUACCKCGGUGGGUCAAGAUUUGAGUUUUAACCUCUCGGGUGGGCGCAACACUGUCUCUACUUGCUUGUCUGGCUGCCCMUCGGAAAAAYUGUUUUAAAAAUUGAUGGAGAUUUUUCAUUGUUCUCCAUCCUGACCCGUCGGAAAAUUGUUUUAAAAAUUGAUGGAGAUUUUUCAUUGUUCUCCAUCCUGACCCGUCGGAAAUUUUUUUWAAAAACUCGGUCUGGUGGGCUAGUAGUUCCGUGUUGCAAUUUCUCGAGGGGAGAGGGACGGUUCAUCUCGGAUUUCGAUUCUUCCAAGGUAUUCAAAGGUCAAUCGGGCCCUUUGCCGAAAGCCAUUGGGUUGACGUGCGAUCCUAGAGUACCGCGGUGGGUCAAGAUUUGGGUUUUAACCUCUCGGGGGAGCGCAACGCUGUCUCUACUUUCUCGUUUGGCCAUUGAUGGAGAUUUUUCAUUGUUCUCCAUCCUGACCCGUCGGAAAAUUGUUUUAAAAAUUGAUGGAGAUUUUUCAUUGUUCUCCAUCCUGACCCGUCGGAAAAUUGUUUUAAAAAUUGAUGGAGAUUUUUCAUUGUUCUCCAUCCUGACCCGUCGGAAAUUUUUUUAAAGAGAGAUUCUUCGUUAUGCUCCAAAUCAAAACAUCCCAAAAAAAAUGCGGAAGAACUAGCAUGCUUCGGCUUGUGCUAACUUGAUGCAUCCUAAGGUUUGUUGCGGUGGGUCGGGCGUAAUGGAGAAUCGUUGGUUUUUUAAAACUUUUUACUUGUCCCUUAAAGGUUUUUGUCCCUCGGAUUGUGUGUUUCCUCGCGUGAAGCGGUGCUGGUGUGGUCUUGCUUGACGUUUCCGCAUGCUCAGCGGUUCUAGUAAUCGUUGGGUUGUGGUUCGUUUGGUUGGGUCAUCAUCAGUUGUACGCAACUCAUGUGUGAGUGGUGAUCGGAUGGAAUGGGUUUGCAAGCUCCUUGCUCAGCGCAACGAAUUGUAAUCUCUCCAUCCUUUUCAUAGUCUUCCCCAAGCAUGGUCAUUUGCCUUGUGGGUAAGAUCGGUAUCCUGUGUUUUUUACCAAUUGAAUGGAAUUCGAAUGUUUUCAUUUCUGUAUUCGCCCGGUUCCCUCAGGGGUGUUGGGUGGACGAUAGGCUGACCUCGUGUUCCAGGUACAUCUCGCAUUAUUGUGUGGUUACCACGGCCCAUGGGGUUAUGCUUGUUCUCUUGGGUACAGAUCGUUAGUUGUGGGCGAGGGGUUACGACCUCCAUUCGUCCAAGCUAUUACGCAUUUGUCAAUCGACACGAACGACUGCUGCACUCGUCUUGGCUUUUACAGUUGAAUGGCUGUACAAUGUCCAUGCGAGUGUCGGUGUCGUGAAGGAAUGC
rnacentral:misc_RNA from 1 species